UCCCUGGUGGCUCAGCUGGUAAAGAAUCCACCUGCAAUGUGGGAGACCUGGGUUCAAUCCCUGGGCUGGGAA
rnacentral:tRNA from 1 species